rnacentral:rRNA from 1 species
AGUUCGAUCCUAGCUCAGAUUGAACGCUGGCUGGAUGCUUUACACAUGCAAGUCGAACGGCAGCACGGACUUCGGUCUGGUGGCGAUGGCGAACGGUGAAGUAAUGUAUCGGAACGUGCCUAGCGGGGGAUAACUGCGCGAAAGCGUAGCUAAUACCGCAUACACCCUUCGGCGGGAACCUUCGGGCCUCAUACCAUUAGAGCGGCCGAUAUCGGAUUAGCUAGUUGGUGGGAGCUAACGGCUCACCAAGGCGACGAUCAGCAGCUGGUUUGAGGGACGACCAGCCACACUGGGACUGAGACACGGCCCGAACUCCUACGAGGAGGAGCCCAGCAGUGGAAAUUUUGGACAAUGGAAACCCUGAUCCAGCCAUCCCGCGUGUGCGAUGAAGGCCUUCAGGUUGUAAAGCACUUUUGGCAGGAAAGAAACGGCACGGGAUAAUACCCCGUGCAACUGACGGUACCUGCAGAAUAAGCACCGGCUAACUACGUGCCAGCAGCCGCGGGCAUGCCCGUAGGGUGCAAGCGUUAAUCGGAAUUACUGGGCGUAAAGCGUGCGCAGGCGGUUCGGAAGAAAGAUGUGAAAUCCCAGAGCUUAACUUUGGAACUGCGUACCCAACACCGGUAGAGUGUGUCAGAGGGAGGUGGAAUUCCGCCGUGUAGCAGUGAAAUGCGUAGAUAUGCGGAGGAGCACCGAUGGCGAAGGCAGCCUCCUGGGAUAACACUGACGCUCAUGCACAGCGUGGGGGAGCAAACAGGAUUAGAUACCCUGGUAGUCCACGCCCUAAACGAUGUCAACCCAGCUGUUGGGGCCUUCGGGCCUUGGUAGCGCAGCUAACGCGUGAAGUUGACCGCCUGGGAAUUACGGUCGCAAGAUUAAAACUCAAAGGGGUGACGGGGACCCGCACAAGCGGUGGAUGAUGUGGAUUAAUUCGAUGCAACAUGAAAAACCUUACCUACCCUUGACAUGUCUGGAAUCCGAAGAGAUUUGGGAGUGCUCGCAAAGAGAACCGGAACACAGGUGCUGCAUGGCUGUCAUCAGCUCGUGUCGUGAGAUGUUGGGUUAAGUCCACAACGAACAACCCUUAAUCAUUAGUUGCUACGAAAGGGCACUCUAAUGAGACUGCCGGUGUUCAAACCGGAGGAAGGUGGGGAUGACGUCAAAGUCCUCGCCGGCCCUUAUGGGUAGGACUUCACACGUCAUACAAUGGUCGGGACAGAGGUCGCCAACCCGCGAGAGGAGCCAAUCCCAGAAACCCGAUCGUAGUCCGGAUCCGCAGUCUGCAACUCGACUGCGUGAAGUCGGAAUCGCUAGUAAUCGCGAGAUCAGCAUGUCGCGGUGAAUACGUUCCCGGGUCUUGUACCACACCGCCCGUCACACCAUGGGAGUGCUGGGUUUACCAGAAGUAGUAGCCUAACCGUAAAGGAGAGACACGAUUACCACGGUAGAGUUCAUGACUGAGAUUGAAAUCGUAACAAGGUAA